GAUGAACGCUGGCGGCGUGCCUAAUACAUGCAAGUCGAGCGAACAGACGAGGAGCUUGCUCCUCUGACGUUAGCGGCGGACGGGUGAGUAACACGUGGAUAACCUACCUAUAAGACUGGGAUAACUUCGGGAAACCGGAGCUAAUACCGGAUAAUAUAUUGAACCGCAUGGUUCAAUAGUGAAAGACGGUUUUGCUGUCACUUAUAGCUGGAUCCGCGCCGCAUUAGCUAGUUGGUAAGGUAACGGCUUACCAAGGCAACGAUGCGUAGCCGACCUGAGAGGGUGAUCGGCCACACUGGAGCUGAGACACGGUCCAUACUCCUACGGGAGGCAGCAGUAGGGAAUCUGCCGCAAUGGGCGAAAGCUUGACGGAGCGACGCCGCGUGAGUGAUGAAGGUCUUCGGAUCGUAAAACUCUGUUAUGAGGUAAGAACAAAUGUGUAAGUAACUAUGCACGUCUUGACGGUACCUAGUCAGAAAGCCACGGCUAACUACGUG
rnacentral:rRNA from 1 species